GACGAACGCUGGCGGCGUGCUUAACACAUGCAAGUCGAACGGAAAGACCCUGCUCUUGUGGGGUUCUCGUUUGGCGCGGGGGUGUGUAAAACGCGUGUAACCUGUCCUUGACUUUGGGGUAACAUUAGGAAACAGGGGCUCAUAUCGGAUAGGAGCUCCUGCUGCAUGGGGGGGAUUGGUAAGUUGCGGCGGUGGGGGAUGGGUUGGCUGGUUAUGCGCUUGUUGGGGGGGUUGUGGCUUACCAAGGUUUUGAGGGGGAGCCGGCCUGAGAGGGUGACCGGCCACAUGGGGACUGAGAUAGGGACCAGACGCGUACGGGAGGCAGCAGUGGGGAAUAUUGCACAAUGGGCGGAAGCCUGAUGCAGCAACGCCGCGUGCGGGAAGACGGCCUUCGGGUUGUAAACCGCUUUCGCCUGUGACGAAGCGUGAGUGACGGUAAUGAGUAAAGAAGCACCGGCUAACUACGUG
rnacentral:rRNA from 1 species